rnacentral:rRNA from 1 species
CGUAACGCGUAGGAAUCUGCCUUGAAGCGGGGGACAACCCGAGGAAACUCGGGCUAAUACCGCAUAAUCUCGAGAGAGCAAAGCUGGGUAGUAAUACCUGGCACUUCGAGAGGAGCCUGCGUCCGAUUAGCUAGUUGGUGGGGUAAAGGCCUACCAAGGCGAUGAUCGGUAGCUGGUCUGAGAGGAUGAUCAGCCACACUGGGACUGAGACACGGCCCAG